GCCGGCAGUUACCAUCGCCUCUCGCUGGGGGAAAACCGGCUCCUGAGGAAUCGUUCCCAGAGAUUCCCGGCGGUGGGGGCGGCCGGACAUCGGGCCACCCCGGAAAACCAGAGCGGACAGACCCGAUCCGUCAAGCGAGAAGCUCUAACUUCUUUUCCCAGCGAGGCUAUUCGCUGGCCGCUUCGGGAGAGAGCCCGCUAAGGAAGGGGGGAACCUGCCACGCGGUCAGUAAAUACCAACGGUCCGUCGCCCGAGGCUACCGAAUACGUCCAGACCGCUCAUCGUCCGAAGCCGGAACUUCCACGCGACCGCCUCCGAGUCACCGGGAAUCUCGGCGGAAAUCGAUGCCGCCGAGCCCGGAAGAAGCAUCAGGCUCACCGCCUGCAUCUACUACAACAACCGCGCUGACAGCUGUGAUAUCCGUCAGGCGUCGGUUAGGGACGGACAGGGCAGAUCCAACGCCAAACGGGUCAUCGGCUUUUAGGCACCGCACGGCUAUCUUUCUAACCGGCGGGGUGAAUCGGAGCAAAAGCCUCGUGCGCGAAUGUCUCAAGACCAACCUCUGAGAUACACCGUGGGAAAAGACCGAAGGAGAACGCCAGCCACGGGCCCGAGGGGCCGGCUUCUUUCCCGUCAACGACGCUCUCCCACGGCGCCCGCGCCACCAACCCCGGGUGGUUUUCCACCUCCCACGAUUUCUCUCUACAUCAACUGCCGACUGUCCGGUCAAAGAGCACACCGGGUCUGGAUCGCGCCC